ACCUUCACAUUUUCCCAAAAUCCACAUGUUUUCUUAUUUUUCCCGUUACAAACUCUAUAAAUGUG
ensembl:ncRNA F22D6.18 ncRNA